AGACCCCAUGGAGCUUUAAACCCAACGACACCCAUUUUCUUUAUACCCUAGUAUUCAUUUGGCUAUGUUUGAUUGGUUUUAGGUUGGGGUGACCACGGAGCAUAAAAUAACCUCCACGAAGAAGAGACUAAUAAUCUUUAUCAAAGAAGUACACUUCUAAGAAUUAACAAAUUAAUUUCCAAUGAUCCGAUAUUCGAUCAACGAACCAAGUUACCCUGGGGAUAACAGCGCAAUCCACCUCAAGAGCUCCUAUCGACAGGUGGGUUUACGACCUCGAUGUUGGAUCAGGAUAUCCCAGUGGUGUAGCAGCUACUAAAGGUUCGUUUGUUCAACGAUUAA
rnacentral:rRNA from 1 species